UGAUAAGACACGCCUCACCAAACCAUCAC
rnacentral:sRNA from 1 species